CGUAGAGCAAACGUAAGCGAAAAAACAUCAAAUUUUGGGGUGAUUUGUAUAGGGAAAAGUUGGAAAUAUGAUACGCGCAAUAUGAUAUGACUUUUUGUUAACGCAAAGUUUGAUAUGUAUCCAAUCUUAUUAGGGCAACGUCCUUGUCAUAUGGCGCAUUAACUCCAUAGUCCUCAUGAACAAUUAUUUUCGUGCAUCUAAAUCUUUGCUCGUGUCCAGAUUUCGUAGAUUGGUCUACUUCCCCGAUCACGAUAUACAACUCAUUUGGGAACCACCCCGAUACACAAUGGGCAGCGGUAACUACCCACUCAUCAUUUAUCAGCGUUCCACCACACGUUAUAUUACAAUGCGCGCAUUUUUUAAUCCCGACUUGCCACGGCCAACUGCCAGCUGCUGCUCUUGUGCCAUUUACUACCCCACCGAUUCUGCCUUUGGUUCCACACCUUAUCUUUUU